CGCGUUCUGACGGUGCCAAGUACUUCUGGAAGACAAAGCGCCGCUCCAACUCCAGCACCUGCUGCGUGGUGAACGCCGUGCGUGACUUGCGCCGUUUUCGGCCGGCGAGCCGAGGUCCCAGUGCAUCCGGGGCGGCCCUGCCUUGUCGCGAUUGCCCCGCCUACAGCGAACCGACCAAAGGGUCCCUGAAUUCUCGCCAGCCCUGCCCAUCCCUGUGGCGCUACCUGCCUCCUGGAGCCGCCGCGAAGCCACUGCAGUAACGGGAGAGAGGGUGAAGACGCGCGGAGAGAAGCCGGUGCAACUACCCACUGGACCCGGGCCGCCCGGCUGGUCCGCGCUGCAAGACACCGCCCCAGGCACGCUGAAGCCGAACUCGUCCCCUCCAGACUGAGUGCCUGAGACCCCCUGCCUAGCUGCCGCUCUGGAUCAUAAACUCAACAGCUAUGAAAUUGCUUUCCUUGGCCCCAGUGCUGGCGAUUUGCAAAGUUCCCAGUAGUAUCUGGGUUGAUUGUACUAGGAUCCCUGGUCCCAUUUAGGAAGGACAUCAGUCUCCCAACCUGGCCCUCUGAGCCUGGAAACCCCUUGCAAAAUGCUCCCAAGGUUGCCCAGGCACCUGGAAGUGAUUAACACACCAAAGAGGUCCCCAGCGUGGGACUCGGUGGAGCGUGGGGAUGCCACAGGAAGCAAGUACAGUUCAUGUAUGGUUUCUUGACCCUGUGGAGGCUCAGAAACAGCCAAGAGGAACAAGAGGCUGGGCCAGCGUGGAGCCAAUCCCCAUAAAAGACGACUUGAAAGGCAGACUUCUUGGACGCUGCCAGACCAUGGGACAGAUACCCCUGCCAGCCCAGACACAAACUCAUUCCUGUUUGAUCACUGUCCUGUCUUCCUUCUCUCCCACACCUAUUCUGGUCCUGGGCUCAAGUGGGGUGAGCUACCCCCACAGCUCUGGGAUAGCAAGGCCCUGCAAGGGGAGGCCCAGCAAAACAUGAAGUUUUUUCUGUUGA